CACAUGGCGAUAGGGAUGUGGCAUUGGGGCCCUUCUAAGAGGCCACCUCUCCCCUGCAGCUCGGGUUUCCUCCUGGAUGUCAAUUAUUGGCUUUUACAUAAGAAGGCUAAUGCGUUUUCAAAGCAGGCAGAUGGCCCCUCCCCAUGCUUUGACAGUUUGGCUUUAGUUGAAAUAUCAUUAAACUUUUCGAAAACAAGGGCUUUGAAACUCAAUCCCCACACUGUUUACAUGUUUUUCCCCCCUCUUAGAGUUGGGCUCUUCCUGCUGCAGCAGUUAAUUCGCCCUUCACCCUCUGCACUCAAAACAAACACUGGCUUGAAGCAUUCAGCUUUUCUACCACUGCGUAGCUGAGAGUGGAAAAAAUAACAUCUGAAACAGGAUGGGCUCUCGAGAUGCCUCGGGUGACAGGCACUUUUCAAACCACUGCAGCCCUUCCUACUUAGACUGCAAGCUAUUCAGUGUGAUCCUGGUGAAGAGGGCUGCUGCAGAUGACAACCACCACUCAAGCCCCCCCAGCAAGCCUUUGAUGAUGACUCAAAUUCAGGCACUACCACUGGCCAUCUCUGUGACUUUGGACAGCCACUUGGCAUCUCUGAGCUACUGUUUCCUCAUUUGUAAGAUGGACAUAAUGGUUCCACUCUGGCAGGGCUCUGUGGGGGACUCAGGAGGGCUGAGCACAAGACGGGCAUGUCACGGGCCCUCGGCAUGUGCAGGCUUCUUUCUUUCCCUCCAUGGCUGGUUCCCAGAUGUCUGAGUGGCCUAAUGGACUGUCCAGAUGGGCUCUCAGAUCUGGAAAGUCAAAGAAGAAGGUCAUGUUGUGUGUGGGUUUGCUGUGGCUCUUGUUGCCCACGGGCAAGUGUGCUUCAAGAGGCCACAUCUGCCCUGCACGUGGUCAGCCCAAGAUGCCCAGCAGCUGUGGACUUGAAAGGAGCCGUCUGGGACUGAGCGACAGCAGUACUAGUCCCGUGGGUGAAAAAGCCGUCAUGGCAAAUGGACGAGCCCAGCCGUUUACUGAUGUCCGCAGGCACAGCACCUUCCUGCAGCAGGAUUUUUUUUUUUAAUACUAUAGUUUCUUUUCCCCAAGUUUUUCUUUUUUCCUUCCCUCUUUUUCACAGAAGUCCUGGAUCCUGGACAGGAUGCAGAGUGGUGUGGCGGGAAACGCUGUAGGCCUGGGCCUAGAACUUGAACCUCCAGAGUCUACCGUGGAGCUCACCGUGUGCCAGGAAACUACUAAAUUCAGUAACAGCCAAUAUGAUGAGCUUAUUCACUCCAGCUUUUGUUCAAGAAGCAAUGACCGAGGGAAACCUGAAAGAACCCUGGGAGGUGUCAAGAUCAUACAUGACACAGUCCCAGUCCCUGCAUUCCAAUGACUUGUCCCAAAUAGGAAGCAAAGCCGGCUGAGCUAGAUACAGAAAUUUGCACAAUCACCAGCUGUGAGGUGAGGUGGUGGACAGUAGUCCUCCACACCCCACCUGUGCUUCCCUGUGGGGGACCCACCUGCCCCAGAGAACCCAGGCACCUGCUUCUGCCUCCUGCAUCCUUGGCUGAGUCUGCUUCAGCCCAGUGUCCAGCUCUCUAUAGCCCUGGAGCAUGAAAUCUUGGAGACUCCUCUUUGCCACCUGUCUCUUACAACUUCCCAUGGAUUAGGAAGAAGGAGAAUGAGCCAUUGAAACACAGAUGAGUUCAAGACACAAGAGAGCAUGUUCUCUUCUAGGCAAGAAAUGUUUGGGAUUUGGCAGAGUCUGAAGUUCAUGUUGUUGGAUGUGACCAUACACCAGCUGCCUCUGCCCUUCCCUAAGGAAGCAAGCAUGCCCAGGGCUCUCCAGGAAAAGAAGGCAGUCUCCUGGACAGCAUGCGGCUUCUCCUGGCCCAUCCUAUCAGCACGCAGCUCAGCACCCACCAUAUUGGUACUCAGUUCAGUAGCACAAUCCAAACACUUUGCAACCCUCUUACUGUAGUUUCCCUAACAACAGAUUCCAUAUCCAUGCAGUAGAGUACCAUCAAUUAAGCAGGUUUUCUAGCAGAGUAUGCAAGAGAGUCUUCACCAUGCAGCAGGACAGUCUCCUGUCCUGGGCUUUCAGAAUCCUCUGCCUCUAGGGGCUGGCCACUGGAUGCAGAGGUACAAGCAGCGUACCCUGCAGACCCUCCCUUUCCCCUCACCAGUGGAGAGUCCUCAGCACUCUGGUUCUGCUGCUCUCUGCAUGCAGGUACUUGGCUGUACCUGGAGAACGCAAGCCAAAAAGACUCUUUCCCCAUCUCCUGUGAUUGCAGGCACAUCCUCACCCUCCAGCCAGCGUAGAACCAGCUGAGAAACACCACUAAGACUUCCCUUCAUGCCAACAAGGGGCUACAGCUGGACGGGCAACUCCUGGGUAUGAUUCCAUUGUCAAAUGGGAUGCCAGGAUUCUAGCAAAAGUUGGUCAGGCCCAGAAGACCCUGCCAAGGCCUCUUACAAAGGAGUCUAUCUCUAGGCCCAAGGCCAUCUCUGGAGGUCUGAAAGAGAAUGAGAAAAGUAAGCUUCAGGUUCUCAGUUCACGGACCAUGUUGUGUGGUCUGAAAGCCUCUGGAUCAGGGAGAAGGCCCCAGGCCAAAAUUCCAGUGGAGGCUGCGGGCCCAGAUGGAUGGCUUUCAUUAUGGAGAAAAUGCAUAUGAAGUUUAGCGGGGCUUGCUCUUGUUUUAAGAAUAUUAACAAGGCUUCGUACAGUUGUCCUGACCCUUUAGGAGAAUAACUUAGUUAGCACAGCUCUUGGCACUCAGAAAGGAACUCAGUCAAUUUUACUCCCUGUGCAGCAAUGGGGCCAGAGCUGCCACCUGGGGCCUGAUUCCUGAGGGCUGGUGCAUUUUGCAAAGAAUUCUUCCCCUCCUGCCACUAGGCCUCCUGAGAGUGCUGGCAGUGCCCCCUCCACUUGUAACUAAGUCAAUCUCUCCCUUAUCACCUAUAGUCAACAGGAGAAACCAACUGGGGUGGCUGAGGCAAAGCUGAGUGCUCUUCUCUUGUGUGCUUCUGUGCAGUGCAGGCCAAGCCAAGCACACCGUGGGUGUCACUGUGUGUGUCUCCCUGUGCUGUGCAGGGCUGCACAAACCUCCUCCCAUCAGGCAACACCACAGGCCCAGCACCCCGCCCUGCUGCAGUGCCUCCCUCCAGGGGCUCAGAGGCUUCGUCUUCUUUUACAGGGGUAUUGCAGGGAGAGGGGCAGAGGGAUGAGAGGCCUGCCUUAAGACCACAUAGCAAGUGUGAGCUGGGCUGCGUGGGGCUCAGGUGGCUGACCCCGCUCCCCGCCUCCACUACACAGGCUUCAAACAAGUGCUGGGGGCAGAGCCUGUCCCCCAGGUCACAGUGGUGAUCACACUUGAUAGCAAGACAAAUGCAGACAAAAGUCAAAAGCCAUCCAAAGAAAGGCAUGUGCAGACCUGGCCCACCCCUUGAGAGCAGAGCACAGGACAAGGGCCAUAGGGAGGGCCGUGACAGCUCUGAGGUACACGCGCUGCUGCCACUGCAGAGCCCCAGAGAGACCCAUCCUCUCCCGCGCCCCUUCCUUGGUAUUCAUGGAGGGAAGCAACAGUAAUGGUGGAAAAAAGCCAAUAGGGAAGUUCCCCUCCUACUGACCUUGCUAAAGACGGCCACACCCACUAACCGUUAAGGACUGAUUCAACAGCAUUACAGGAUGAAAAGCAACAGUUUAGUACUUUUAACUACAUUUCAGUUGUAUUAACAGGGUUUUAAAAAAAGAAAAUGCAUUUCUAUUUACACACUUGCCGUUGAAGUAAUGAGUAGACAAGGCCUUUGCUCCCAACACUUUGCUUUUCAACUUGCCCAUGAUCUUGUCUUCCUGUUGGAGGUAUUACAGCCAGAUGUGUCCCUUCACCUUGGCUCCUGGCUGAUCAAAGCAUGCUGUUAGUUUCAUUUUUACUUUGAAAAGUGUCUUUUACACAGUCAUAGAUAAAGAGUCAUGAACAUCUUAAGAGAAUACGCAUAGCAAAGGUUCAUAAAAAUCUGAUUUCACAAUAAAUUCUAGAAAAUGCGACACUGCUCAUAUCUUUGUCUUUUCAGAUUGAGCCUGUUGUCUUUCAAAUGUCUCCAUUGCAGAAAAAAAUCAUAAACACAAAAAUACUCCACAUGGUCACAGAUUGGCAGAUCUAAAGGAGCCUGGUUUUCAUAUAAAGACACAGAGAGGAAUAACACGACAAAACAUACGAAAAUAAACCAAACUCAGAGCUUCAAGAAACAGGUGAGCAGGAGAAGCUAAGCUGGGCACGGAAACGUACCUCUGUCUCCACACACUAAUGUAGUUGCUGUAGUUGAGCAGGAAAUUCACGUUUCCUGGAUGCCUAAGGGAUAAAAAAGCUGUGGCCUUCUUGGCAUUCGGAAUGGCAGGAGGGCAGCACCUUGGAGAGCCUGGAGAAUGACCCUCCAGAGCCCAGGCACAGACUUCUCCUUGGAGGCACCAAGUCCACAGAGGGAGGUCAAGAACCUGAUUCAAGCACUCUGAUUCUGUUGUUCAUCACAUACGGUUUCAGACCAGGAAACUAUGAACCUGGAAAGAGUCCCGUUAGCUAGGAAGCAAUCAGCAGAAAGUAAGUGCCAUGAAAGAUUAAUUUUAUUAAGAAAUUGGGCAAUUCUUGCUUAGCACUGUUAUGGUUUAGACGUGAGGUAUCCCCCAAAAGCUCAUGUGUGAGUGCAAAAAACUUAGAGGUGAGAGGAUUGUGUUAUGAAACGCUUAACCUAAUCAGUGCAUUAAUCUCCUCAUAGGGAUUAACUGGGUGGUGACUGCAGGCUGGUAGGUAUGGCUGGAGGAGGUGGUCAUUCGGAUAUGCCUGUGGAGCUUAUGUUCUGACCAUGAUGAGGGGCACUCUCUCUGCCCCUGCCCCCUGCUUUCCGGGUGUCAUGUCCCCAUCUGCUUUUCUCCGCCACACUCUUCUGCUAUGAUUUUGUGCCCCAUCCCAGACCCUGAGCAAUGGAGUUGGCCAUCUAUGAACUGAGACCUCUGAAACCAUGAGCUCCCAAAAUAAACUUUUCCUCCAUUAA